AUUGAACGCUGGCGGCAGGCCUAACACAUGCAAGUCGAGCGGACGAAGGAGGCUUGCUCCUGGAUUCAGCUGCGGACGGGCGGGUAAUGCCUAGGAGUCUACCCGGUCGAGGGGGCUAACGUCAGUACACGGGCGCUGAUACCACAUACGACCAUAUGUUGAAAGGGGUGGUUCUACAGACAAAGACGGAUUUGAUGACCCUAGUAGGUAGAACCGAGUCGCAUUAGCUAGUUGGUAGGGUAACGGCCUACCAAGGCGACGAUGCGUAGCCGACCUGAGAGGGUGAUCAGCCACACUGGAACUGAGACACGGUCCAGACUCCUACGGGAGGCAGCAGUGGGGAAUCUUGCGCAAUGGGCGAAAGCCUGAUCCAGCCACGCCGCGUGUGUGAAGAAGGUCUUCGGAUUGUAAAGCUCUUUAAGUUGGGAGGAAGGGAAGUAAGUUAAUCCCUUCCUGUUUUGACGUUACCUAAAGAGUAAGCCCCGGCUAACUUCGUG
rnacentral:rRNA from 1 species